AGUGAACGCUGGCGGUAGGCCUAACACAUGCCAGUCGAACGGCAGCACAGUAAGAGCUUGCUCUUACGGGUGGCGAGUGGCGGACGGGUGAGGAAUACAUCGGAAUCUACUUUUUCGUGGGGGAUAACGUAGGGAAACUUACGCUAAUACCGCAUACGACCUACGGGUGAAAGCAGGGGAUCUACGGACCUUGCGCGAUUGAAUGAGCCGAUGUCGGAUUAGCUAGUUGGCGGGGUAAAGGCCCACCAAGGCGACGAUCCGUAGCUGGUCUGAGAGGAUGAUCAGCCACACUGGAACUGAGACACGGUCCAGACUCCUACGGGAGGCAGCAGUGGGGAAUAUUGGACAAUGGGCGCAAGCCUGAUCCAGCCAUACCGCGUGGGUGAAGAAGGCCUUCGGGUUGUAAAGCCCCUUUGUUGGGAAAGAAAAGCAGCAGGUUAAUACCCCGCUGUUCUGACGGUACCCAAAGAAUAAGCACCGGCUAACUUCGUG
rnacentral:rRNA from 1 species